AUUGAACGCUGGCGGCGUGCUUAACACAUGCAAGUCGAGCGAGUGGAUUCCCUUCGGGGAUGAAGCUAGCGGCGGACGGGUGAGUAACACGUGGGCAACCUGCCUUAUAGAGGGGGAUAGCCUUCCGAAAGGAAGAUUAAUACCGCAUAAUAUCAGAUUAUCGCAUGGUAGACUGAUCAAAGGAGCAAUCCGCUAUAAGAUGGGCCCGCGUCGCAUUAGCUAGUUGGUGAGGUAACGGCUCACCAAGGCGACGAUGCGUAGCCGACCUGAGAGGGUGAUCGGCCACAUUGGGACUGAGACACGGCCCAGACUCCUACGGGAGGCAGCAGUGGGGAAUAUUGCACAAUGGGGGAAACCCUGAUGCAGCAACGCCGCGUGAGUGAUGAAGGCCUUCGGGUUGUAAAGCUCUUUGAUCAGGGACGAUAAUGACGGUACCUGAAGAACAAGCCACGGCUAACUACGUGCCAGCCGCCGCGGUAACAC
rnacentral:rRNA from 1 species